UAGCCAAAGGGAAAGGCUGCCUUGCGUGCACGAGUGCGCCAGGAGACACAAGAAAGAGGUUGGUCCAUUGCUUCAGAGUAACUGAUGGCAGCCUAUAGGCUCAGCGGUGUCCAGGGUAGUUUAAGGAAGGCUGGCCAGAACGUAGGAGGAUCAUGGGACAGUUACUGGCCCUCCAUGGCCAGGAGGUUGUGACUGGAGGGCACCAUGCCCUCCCUCUCUGCGAACUCCAGGAUUGCCUUGUAGCAAAAAUAGUACUGCUCAGGGGUCUGGAUGCUGAAGGCCCUCUGGGUCCUCAUGCGGGACACUGUCUGGAAUACAUUAAGGGUGCCAAGCUCUUCCAGCUGUGCCAAGCAGAUGUCCAGUGAGCAGAAGGUACCUGAAGGAAGGAAAGAAAUGGUCACAUUUGACUUAUCUCUCCUCCAUCCCUCCCUCUACCAAACGACCCAGGCAGAUUGGAUGAAUGCACUCAAAAGCAAGGGGCCCCAUGAUGGACCAGGCGGGCAUUAGGCCUGACGGGAUUCAAGAGGAGGUCACUUUGGAGUGCUGGGAGCCCAGAGAAGCGACAAGGCCUCUUGGCUCUCAGGACAGUAUGGAGGUAACAGGAAGAGUAGGUGGGAAGGUGACACAGAGGAACUGCCUGCUUCAAUCUCAGACAGAAUGACAACAUUCCCACUCUUGGGUCCUAAUUUUCAGAGGCUCCACAACUCUUCCACAGAGACCUCACAGAAACCUAUUCUUCCCGACUUUGUCCCAAAGGGGCCUCUGAACUAGAAAGCCCAGCAGUCCCUGCAAUGCACAUGCCCCUGAGCUAAAAGCUGCGGACUAGCUCCAGAAUGAGAGCACAGCUCAGGUGGGGAUCUCCUUAGGGAGGGGGAUGGGAAGGAAGCAACAGCCCAGACGACAGUGAGGGGGUCGGAAGAUAAUCAUACUGAUGGGAUGUGCCAACCCCCAGGAGACUGGCCUCUGGAGUGUACAUUCUGGCCCGCACAGCUGGUGCUAGGGAUGCCAAAAGGCCAUUAAAGGGGAAUUUUUCAUGGCAAUUCACUGCCAAUGGAUCAAAUUCUCGCAAACUGGCAACUAAGAGUGUUGUUGUCUUUCCCCCACCCUUAUUACCUCUGGAUGCUCCGAGAGCUGCCCCAACGUCAGGUGCAUUACCUGUCCGGCCAAUGCCUGCACUGCAAUGGACGACAAUGGGUGGUUCAGGGCACUGCCCUUUGGCUCGUACUCCCAUGCUGCUGACCGCCAGCCUCUGCUGGUUCCUGACCACUCUCAAGAAGUCGAUGAGAGAAGCUGCUGAGGAAGGGACACCGUAAUCUGGCCAGCUCAGGAACUGAAAGUGGGUCACCUGGCGUUUCUGCCGCUCCUUGGAUGAGAAAAGAAGCCAAGUUAACAGGUCAUUUCUGCUUGCCCCUGACCACAUACAUUUAGCUUUUCUAGAUUCUCAACCCUCUGAUAUCCUCACCACGCAGGCUCCUGCCUACCACCCUCAACUUUCUCCGCAAUUGCUUCUCUGCAAACCCAGAAAAGGUUAAAUGUCGGGAGAGGACAAUAUAGGAAUUCCCUAUAUUGUAGGACCCAGAUUUCUAUUAUGUUUUUAUUCCCAAGUAAUGUCACUGUUGCAUCGAGACAAUAUGGCUAUAUUGGCUCUUAGCUGAAUAUUCUGAUCCUGUUCCCAGAAAAACGAAAGUAAUGUAUAAGCUGCCUGGAUUCUUGCCUAUUCCCUUUGGGGAUUUUCUUUACAGCAAAGCCCCCAGCGUAAAAAAAAGUGAGAUAACAGAAACCAGGAUUUACCUCUGUGUUGUGAAUUUCUAGCGUUGUUUUCUUAUAAUGGUUCAUGUUCUCCACGCCUAGAUUGGUCACCGUGAGGAAGCCAAAUCGGAUCCGAGAGUCUCUUUCUAACGGCCAGUACUGGCCACACUUUCUCCUGCCACCCUCCUCAAAGCUGAAGACAACACAGAGCAAGCAGUCAAUACUGACCUCAUACCACUAUGUUCUACUCUGAUGAGACAUCUUCGCUGAGCUAAGGGACCAUCUCCAGAGGACCCAGCAGGUUAAGAGUCUCAUUCACUCCCAGCCACGCUGCUCAUACCAGGGCCCACUGUAGUCAGCCAAAGCUAUACUCUGCUCAGCCUGGCACAUUCAAGUUGUAUACCCUACAGGACUCGGGUACUGGAGACAGAGCAGUCAAGAAGACAGAUAAAUACAGGUAUCUGAUUCCAGAGCCCCAGCUCAACCAGUACACUUCACUUCUUGAGAGUAUAUACCUGAAGAUCUCAGGAACAGUGAUGAGCUUGUCCUAGGUCAGCCGGGCUCUGAGCUAAUGCUCCUGCAGGAAAACCCUUUGUAAGGGUCCUAGAUAGGGCUAUGAAUUCGGUUUAUGUACUUUGAAACAGUAGGGUCAAGAGAUUAAAAUCAUGAUCCUAGGGUCUCAACUCACAUAUCAUAUACACUCCAAUACAAGGCAAUGAUUUUCCCCUAAAAAAAGAGGCAGGAUAUAACAAGUCCCUAUAAAGUUAAAGGGGCACUAUUUAAAUUCCUUUACUUUGAAUAACAGCCUGAAUCAAUGCUGGUUUUUUGAUGCAUAUGGAGGGCACCAGACAGAAUUAAAUAUACAAAGAAAAAAGACGCCUGGGUGGCUCAGAGGUUGAGCAUCUCCCUUCGGCCCAGGGUGUGAUCCUGGACACUUGGGAUCGAGUCCCACAU